UGGGGAAUAUUGGACAAUGGGCGAAAGCCUGAUCCAGCCAUGCCGCGUGAGUGAUGAAGGCCCUAGGGUUGUAAAGCUCUUUUGUGCGGGAAGAUAAUGACGGUACCGCAAGAAUAAGCCCCGGCUAACUUCGUGCCAGCAGCCGCGGUAAUACGAAGGGGGCUAGCGUUGCUCGGAAUCACUGGGCGUAAAGGGUGCGUAGGCGGGUUUCUAAGUCAGAGGUGAAAGCCUGGAGCUCAACUCCAGAACUGCCUUUGAUACUGGAAGCCUUGAGUUCGGGAGAGGUGAGUGGAACUGCGAGUGUAGAGGUGAAAUUCGUAGAUAUUCGCAAGAACACCAGUGGCGAAGGCGGCUCACUGGCCCGAUACUGACGCUGAGGCACGAAAGCGUGGGGAGCAAACA
rnacentral:rRNA from 1 species